rnacentral:rRNA from 1 species
AACGAACGCUGGCGGCAUGCUUAACACAUGCAAGUCGAACGAGAUCUUCCGAUCUAGUGGCGCACGGGUGCGUACCGCGUGGGAAUCUGCCCCUUGCUUCCGAAUCACAGAGAGAAAUUACUGCUAAUACAGGAUGAGGUCUUCGCACCAAAGAUGUAUGGGCAUGGGAUGAGCCCGCGUAGGUUUAGGUGGUUGGUGGUGUAAUCGCAUACCAACCCGACGAUCCUGAGCUGGUCGGAGAGGAUGAUCAGCAACACUGGGACUGCGACACGGCCCAGACUCCGACGGAAGAGUGGGGUGGAUAAUAUUGUAGAAGGAGCGAAGACCUGGUCCAGCCAUGCGGCGGGAGAGGUGAAGGGCUUAGGGUUGUAAAGCUCUUUUUCCAGGGAUGAUAGUGACAGUACCUGGAGAAUAAGCACCGGCUAACUCCGUG